UGUGUCCCAGAGUCAAUCGCAUUUGGCGCACACUUCAUCAGUCUCAAACAGUUUGGGUACAGGUGCGAUACGUUUGUACAGAGUUUGUGGGCCAACCUAGAAUGUGACACGAUCCCGGCUAAUUAGUGGCGACAAAGUUGGAACGGAAAGGCGGUACUGGAUUUUGGCUGUCUCUGGUUUUGGAUUAGGCGGACUGUCCGAGUUAGCGGUGAUAUUAGAAGCUGGUGCGGAGUGAAGGAUACUUUCGGAGCUAAUCGAACAAGAUGGGAUGUUGCUGCAGCAGUUCCGACUCGCAGGAUAUUACGCCGGUGCCUCCGCGACCAGGACUACCAGAGGAAGCCCCAUCCGGAGUGCCGUACGGGUUGAAUGACGGCGGCGGAAGCGACCAGGGGGCCACCGGAUACAACGUGAACGGAUGACGUGACGACGGAAGAUGACAGCGAUGAUUAUGAUGAUGAUGAUGAUGAUGAUGAUGGGGAGAUUCUGAUGGGCAACAGGGAAACGCAGGGCGUGAUGGAAAUCGGUAACCUGCAUUUGGUUGGGGACAAUACGGGGUGAACAAAAAAUCAAUUAUUUUUACAAUAAAGACAACGUGAUGAGUGCUGGUGACAA